UCUGGUGAUUGAAGCAUUAUGGCACCACCUCUUCCCAUUCCGAACAGAGAAGUGAAACGUAAUAGCGCUCACGAUACUACACACAUGUGGGAAAAUAGGUCGUCGCCAGAA
rnacentral:rRNA from 1 species